UACGUAGGGUGCGAGCGUUAAUCGGAAUUACUGGGCGUAAAGCGUGCGCAGGCGGCUUUGCAAGACAGAUGUGAAAUCCCCGGGCUCAACCUGGGAACUGCAAUUGUGACUGCAAGGCUAGAGUACGGCAGAGGGGGAUGGAAUUCCGCGUGUAGCAGUGAAAUGCGUAGAUAUGCGGAGGAACACCAAUGGCGAAGGCAAUCCCCUGGGCCUGUACUGACGCUCAUGCACGAAAGCGUGGGGAGCAAACAGG
rnacentral:rRNA from 1 species